UUGGGGAGGGCCCAUAACUCAAUGGUAGAGCAUCUACUUUGUAUGCAGAAGGGACCAAGCUCAAUCCCUGGCAUCUCUAAG